GCAUUGAUAGCUUAAUUUUUAGAGCAUAGCACUGAAGAUGCUAAGGUGGCAAUUUAUGCCUCAAAGCA
rnacentral:tRNA from 1 species